rnacentral:rRNA from 1 species
UACGGGGGGGGCAAGCGUUGUUCGGAAUUACUGGGCGUAAAGGGCGUGUAGGCGGCCAACUAAGUCCGACGUGAAAUCCCCAGGCUUAACCUGGGAACUGCGUCGGAUACUGGAUGGCUUGAAUCCGGGAGAGGGAUGCAGAAUUCCAGGUGUAGCGGUGAAAUGCGUAGAUAUCUGGAGGAACACCGAUGGCGAAGGCAGCCCCCUGGGUCAAGACUGACGCUCAUGCACGAAAGCGUGGGGAGCAAACAGG